UACGAAGAGGGCUAGCGUUGCUCGGAAUGACUGGGCGUAAAGGGCGCGUAGGCGGCUCAUACAGUCAGAUGUGAAAUUCCUGGGCUUAACCUGGGGGCUGCAUUUGAUACGUGUGGGCUUGAGUGGGGAAGAGGGUCGUGGAAUUCCCAGUGUAGAGGUGAAAUUCGUAGAUAUUGGGAAGAACACCGGUGGCGAAGGCGGCGACCUGGUCCUUGACUGACGCUGAGGCGCGAAAGCGUGGGGAGCAAACAGG
rnacentral:rRNA from 1 species